rnacentral:rRNA from 1 species
GAUGAACGCUGGCGGCGUGCUUAACACAUGCAAGUCGAACGGGAAUUAUUUUAUUGAAACUUCGGUCGAUUUAAUUUAAUUCUAGUGGCGGACGGGUGAGUAACGCGUGGGUAACCUGCCUUAUACAGGGGGAUAACAGUCAGAAAUGGCUGCUAAUACCGCAUAAGCGCACAGAGCUGCAUGGCUCAGUGUGAAAAACUCCGGUGGUAUAAGAUGGACCCGCGUUGGAUUAGCUUGUUGGCAGGGUAACGGCCUACCAAGGCGACGAUCCAUAGCCGGCCUGAGAGGGUGAACGGCCACAUUGGGACUGAGACACGGCCCAGACUCCUACGGGAGGCAGCAGUGGGGAAUAUUGCACAAUGGGGGAAACCCUGAUGCAGCGACGCCGCGUGAAGGAAGAAGUAUCUCGGUAUGUAAACUUCUAUCUGCAGGGAAGAUAGUGACGGUACCUGACGAAGAAGCCCCGGCUAACUACGUG